rnacentral:lncRNA from 1 species
UGAAGCAUCUGCCAUUUGCAUUUGCAAAGAUGAAACAUGAUUUAUCUCUGUGGAUGGUUCAGUCCUUUCUUUCUCAGAAAUCAUUCCGUUUAAUGGAUCAUCAUGUCUUCUCAUUUUACAUUCACCCAACACACCAGAAAACCAGAACAGUGACAUACCAGGUAUGUCACAAGGCUUGUCACAAUUUCAUGUGUCACUAUUUUUAGAUGACAAACUUGGUGUGUCACUGUUUCAAGAAAUCUGCGACAUACCAAAAUUGUCACAAUUUUUUGUGACAUACCUGGUAUGUCACACACGAGAAAAAUUCUAAUUAGAAAUCCAAGACAUACCAAAAUUGUCACAAAAAUCUGUAACAUACCUAGCACGUCACUCGAAAAAAUUCUUAUAAAAAAUUAAAUUGCUUUUUUUUUUCCUGCUGGGCUGCUUCCUCAUAGAGAGAAUCAAUACAAAUUUGAAUAAAAAUUUCCUGAAAUAUGUUAACUGCCAAUAUUUGCUAUCAAGAUAUAGUACUUUUAUUACUCAAAUAUGAGUUAUUGGUACAAGUUCGACCAAAAGUAUAACAUAGAAAUAUAUAUAUAAAAAAAAAAAAAAAAAAACAAUUCUAGAUAGUCUUCACUUGUAUACGCCAGUGAGCUCCCCAUUUCCUGCCUUCUGAUGAAAUGUGACCAUCUGUUUUGUGCAUUCCCUACAUUAAAGCAUAACGAAACCAUACUCAGGAAAAGUAUUUCUUUGAUGCAGCUAGCAGUGUAUAUAGAAGCUGCAGCUAACAGAGAUAGUGGGAAGUUCAAAAUUUCAGAUUGAGCUGCAGCAAUUAGAUUUAGACAUACUAUUUAAAACUAACCUUUUUGUCAGAUUGGGUUGCCUUGAGAAACAUCAUAAUGAACACAUAUGGUGUUGCACCUGCGAAGGAAGUACGAAAAUCAAAUUGACUCACAGACCACAGAGGCAUGUAAUGGUGAAACACAGAUCCAUAGUGGUGCAACCGACGAUUAAGGAAUAUUAACACAUGGCACUAAAUAAUUAUCUACCCAUAUGCAUUUGUAUGCGAAUUAGGGAGUUCAGCCAUCAAGUUAUCUACCCUACUUCGUGUGAGAACUAGUAACUUUUAAAAUAUGGCCUUGUUCAUUUCAAAUAUGCAGGCAGAGUAUAUGCGAAUAAUCCCAACGACCCAGGUAAACCAAAACAUUGAUAUACAUCAAAACAAGUACUACAUAACUGUACAAUUUCAUAAAAGAGUGUCACAGAAGUCAAGACAUGAAAUGGUACUAGCCAAAGUUACCAAAACUUAAAGUGAUCCCAAGCCUAGUACAGUCCACUCCAAUGACACCUGAUAAGCAAUAUACCAUAGUCACAUUACUCGUUUGCAUAUUUAAGACUAUUAACAAUAUGUGGGGGUUUGUGUUCUUACAGUUACUGAAACAUGGGAAGGAAGUGAUUUUAUAUAAAAAUGCAAAUGCAACUGUGAACACACACAUAUGGAUUCCAAAGUGCUAAAGUUAUAUAGAACACAGUACUACAGUAGUGAUCUUAAAAUAGUAUAUAUAGGAUAAAAGUCUCUGCCUAAAGCAAAGAUGUGAACUUUAAAUCUCGAUAUGGUACAUGAAAAGAUUUGUUGUUAGAAAAACUCACUAGCUUCAUGAUUAAAAGUCAGAAAAAAUGAAAACAAUUAAGCAUGAUGUAAAAGCUAUUAACCUCAAAGUCACACUCACAUGCACACAUAAAAAGAACCUAAGAAUCCUUAUAAUUAAAUAAAUGAUCUGUAGGUGUCAUUCCAUAGUUAGUAUUAAGUCUUCACUAAGUGGAGUGAUCACAAUAAAAUUUGUGAUUCCAAGGAUACAAAGGUUUCAAUAGAAAAUGGUGGCUACAAUGAUAAGAUUAUGGAAAUUAAUUAUAACCCAGGAGAGUUUCUCCUUUCUAGAUCACAUGAUUUUCCAGUAAAAUUCAACUUUAUAGAUUUAUUCACCAUAAGUGAUACUGAAUGUUUGUUUACCUGCUGAGUGCUGAGUAAUAGUUCAAUUCUUUGAUGAAUCACAUUCAAUAUGGCAUUCCAUCUCUUCAGAUCCUACAAUGCCAUCUCCGUAUCCCCUUGGGCAACUUCUCCAACAAUUCCAUUUCUCCUUUCACCCCUUUCAUCUGACAGUGGCAAAGACAGAUUUAUUUCUUAAGAUCGCAAAAGAGAGAUUUGAGAAAUAACACAGAUAGAGAAGCACUUACCGCUUGUUUGAGAAAUAUUCACUACAUACUAAAGUUUGUCCAAAAAAUAUUCCUCACUUACAAUUUCAUGCCAACUACUAAAACUAAAUUCAAUAUUUACCACAUUAAUGUCAUACUUAUUAGUUACUACUACUGUAUUCGAAACUUACUCAGACCAACAACAAGACAACAAUCAAAACAACAAACUUUAUUCAUUAAGCAAAUUUCAAAUCUAACAACUUAAAACCCUACUUCCUAUAAAAUUCAAAAACAAACUAUUAAUUUAAUGAAGUAGAAUUCUUCUCUAGAUUAUCAUUAUUUAAAUUCUUCAAUUGAUCUCCAACCGAAUUAUCUUCAGAAAGUAUUCUAUAAAACAAAUCCAAAUCAAUUGUCAUAUCCAAAUCAUCAAAUCCUUCAAUCAAAACAUCUCCAUCACCCUCUCACCAUCACUGCAACUUGUCCAAGUAUUCAUCGUUAAAGAAGAAGAAGAAGAAGAAGAAGAAGAUUGUAUUGAGUGUGAACAGAGAAGAAGAAGAGAGAGAAAGUGUGUGUUUGGUUUGAAACUAAACAAAACAACAAAUUUAGUGAAAUUGGAUUAAAAUUUAGUGAAACAUACAAAAUUUGCUCAUGAAUUCAAGCUACAGUGAGUAAUCAAAAUCAGAAAACAUUAGAAAAACCGAGUGAAAAUCAAAGCCGAUUUAAAUUCACCUCGAUUGGAAUAUGGUCGAGAUUUCUUCCAGUUGCAAAUACCAAGACGAAAUUAAUCUCACGAACUCCAUGAGAGAGCUUGAAGAAAACGAGAAACGAGAAAUGAAAACGGUUUUGUUCAAAAUAAACGAAAAGACACAAAUGCCCUUUAGCGGUAAUUUGGUGUAGAUGCAUGGUGAUCUGUGUGUGUCUUUAGAUAAUGGGAAAUCUCUCUAAUCGUAACUCAGAUGAUGCAGAUCUAUGAUCUCCUCCAUCAGAAAUAAAAAAGUGAAUUAGAACUUGGCAGAGAAUAAAUGAAGAUCACCACGACACCAACAAGUUUCGCCCAGACAUGGCAGCAGUCUGUACACAAUGUAGUUUUCCCUUGACUAUUAGCUAGAAUUACAUUUCAGUGAAAGCUGAUUUAUUAGGAGGCACAAAUGCUUAUCGAGCGAGCCUUUGCUAACAAUGGAGUAGUCAUGAUUGAUU